UACGGAGGAUCCGAGCGUUAUCCGGAUUUAUUGGGUUUAAAGGGUGCGUAGGCGGCCUAUUAAGUCAGGGGUGAAAGACGGUAGCUUAACUAUCGCAGUGCCUUUGAUACUGAUAGGCUUGAAUGUACUUGAGGUAGGCGGAAUGUGACAAGUAGCGGUAAAAUGCAUAGAUAUGUCACAGAACACCAAUUGCGAAGGCAGCUUACUAAAGUAUGAUUGACGCUGAGGCACGAAAGCGUGGGGAUCAAACAGG
rnacentral:rRNA from 1 species